UGAGGACCCAAUGACGACUUUAUUUCUACGGUUAUACGGUGGGUCUGACUUAACUAAGAAAUGGGACCAAUAACUGUUAGGUGAGGUUUUCAUGGCUUAGAGACCAAGUAGCACUGCAACAUGCUUGAGAAGCAUUGUACAAGAGUUGUACAUUCAUCAAUCUAUGUGUCACCAAUAACUGUUAGGUGAGGUGGCAUGUAAAUUGGUGGGACCGCAGUACCCACUAG
rnacentral:lncRNA from 1 species